AUAUAGAAAUAUAUAAAUUAAUUUUUUUUUAAAUCCCAAAUAAUAGUUUUUAAUCACAAAAAAAGUUUUAUAGAUAUUAAAAAUGUUUUGUAAAAUCCAAAAAAUCGAAUUUAUAUACAAAAAACAUUUUGUAAAAUCCAAAAAAUCGAAUUACAAAAAUCGUUUUGUAAAAUACAAAAAUCGAUUUUAUAUACAAAAAUCGAUUUUAUAAAUACAAAAAAAUAAAAAAAAUUAUAAAAAAAUUCUAAAUCAAUUCAACAAAACAA
rnacentral:lncRNA from 1 species